ACCUUUGACAUCCCUUGAAGCAGCUAGAGAUAGCUGUGUCCUUCGGGACAAGGAGACAGGUGGUGCAUGGUUGUCGUCAGCUCGUGUCGUGAGAUGUUGGGUUAAGUCCCGCACGAGCGCAACCCCUGUGGUUAGUUGCCAGCAAGUAGCGUUGGGCACUCUAGCCAGACUGCCGGUGAUAAAUCGGAGGAAGGUGGGGACGACGUCAAAUCAUCAUGCCCUUUAUGUCCUGGGCUACACACGUACUACAAUGGCCGUUACAACGGGAAGCGAAGGAGCAAUCCGGAGCAAAUCCCUUAAAGGCGGUCCCAGUUCAGAUUGUGGGCUGAAACUCGCCCACAUGAAGGCGGAAUUGCUAGUAAUUGCAGAUCAGCAUGCUGCAGUGAAUACGUUCCCGGGCCUU
rnacentral:rRNA from 1 species